CCUCUCUAUAUUAGCAGAAGUGUUUUUCAACUGCUCCGUCGGUGGCCAUAAAGCGAAUGCGACCAUAAGGGAGAACUGUGUUUGUUUGAACCUCUUGGGCUGCCGCUCCUACCUGGCGGUAGGUCUUGAGGUCCACCCGUCCGCUCUGUAUGUAGGGCUUCAGCUGGACGUAGGCCUCGGGGCUAACCGCUCCGCCCUUCCUGGCCUGCCGGAUCAUGGACAGCCGCCGCUGCAGGCUCUUCUCCCCGUAGAACUGGCUGAGGUGGGCGCGUCCGUCCAGCUUGAUGCCGUGCUCCACGUGGGAGUACCGCCCCACCAGGCCCUCCACGUCGCCCACGUCAAACUGCUUCAGCUGCGGCGGGGGAGAACCGACAAGGUCACGUGACUGGCUCCUUGCUCCAGGGCGAUGGACACGAUGUGGGCGCUGGUCAGACCCCCCCCCACCACCAUCAGCCUCUGGCCCGCGUCACACACCCGGCCCACGUCUGGGCUCAGCCCUGGGGACCCACACAAGCACACUGUGUUAUUAUUCACGGUUGUCCUAGCUCAGGUGGUGCAUGAGGCUGACACUGUGUUGGAGACGUUCCUCCGGAUAGUCCUCCGAGAUGCCCUCCACCCAACCGGGGAUGUUGGCCAUCUGGGCCCGGGUCGGCCCCGUCGCCAAGACAACCUGCCGGGCCUCCACCGUGACACCCCCUUGGAGAAGCACCCGGAAGUACUUCACCCUCCUCUUCCCGACGCCCUCGACGUCUCGCUCACUGUCCCUCGCCCCUCCCGCCCCAACCUCCUUCUCCUCCACCACCUCCUGCUUCUCCACCUCCUUCUCCUCCACCUCCGUCUCCUGCACCUCUUCCUCCGCCACCUCCUUCUCCACCUCCUUCACCUCUUCUUCCUCCGCCACCUCCUUCUCCUCCGCCUCCUCCUCCUCCUCCACCUCCUUGUCCUCCUCCUCCACCUCUUUCUCCUCCUCUUCCUGCUCCAUCAUCACAGGGGUGAUGGAGUCCACGGUCCCCUCCAGCAGCACUCUGUCCAGCCCGUAUCUCUCCACCUGUACGUACGGAAGCACCCGUCACACAGAGCGAGCUAGCGGUUCAUAACCCAGUUCUUUGGGAUUGACCAUUCAUUCAGUUAUUUAUUUUAAGGGUUAGUGUUUUAAUUAGAUUUUGUA